rnacentral:rRNA from 1 species
AGAGUUUGAUCAUGGCUCAGAUUGAACGCUGGCGGCAGGCCUAACACAUGCAAGUCGAGCGGAUGACAGGAGCUUGCUCCUGAAUUCAGCGGCGGACGGGUGAGUAAUGCCUAGGAAUCUGCCUGGUAGUGGGGGACAACGUUUCGAAAGGAACGCUAAUACCGCAUACGUCCUACGGGAGAAAGCAGGGGACCUUCGGGCCUUGCGCUAUCAGAUGAGCCUAGGUCGGAUUAGCUAGUUGGUGAGGUAAUGGCUCACCAAGGCGACGGUCCGUAACUGGUCUGAGAGGAUGAUCAGUCACACUGGAACUGAGACACGGUCCAGACUCCUACGGGAGGCAGCAGUGGGGAAUAUUGGACAAUGGGCGAAAGCCUGAUCCAGCCAUGCCGCGUGUGUGAAGAAGGUCUUCGGAUUGUAAAGCACUUUAAGUUGGGAGGAAGGGUUGUAGAUUAAUACUCUGCAAUUUUGACGUUACCGACAGAAUAAGCACCGGCUAACUCUGUGCCAGCAGCCGCGGUAAUACAGAGGGUGCAAGCGUUAAUCGGAAUUACUGGGCGUAAAGCGCGCGUAGGUGGUUUGUUAAGUUGGAUGUGAAAGCCCCGGGCUCAACCUGGGAACUGCAUUCAAAACUGACAAGCUAGAGUAUGGUAGAGGGUGGUGGAAUUUCCUGUAGCGGUGAAAUGCGUAGAUAUAGGAAGGAACACCAGUGGCGAAGGCGACCACCUGGACUGAUACUGACACUGAGGUGCGAAAGCGUGGGGAGCAAACAGGAUUAGAUACCCUAGUAGUCC